rnacentral:tRNA from 1 species
CGACUCGCCCGGUCGGGUGGUUCCGCGGCAGACCGGCUGCGGCCCGGUCGCGGCCCGGUGGGGGCUCACUAGGCUGGCUCGGGUUCGGCCGGGUCGA